rnacentral:rRNA from 1 species
ACCUACGGGGGGCAGCAGUGAGGAAUAUUGGUCAAUGGGAGAGAUCCUGAACCAGCCAAGCCGCGUGAGGGAAGACGGCCCUAUGGGUUGUAAACCUCUUUUGUCGGAGAACAAAACCCGGGACGUGUCCCGGACUGCGUGUAUCCGAAGAAAAAGCAUCGGCUAACUCCGUGCCAGCAACCGCGGUAAUACGGAGGAUGCGAGCGUUAUCCGGCUUUAUUGGGUUUUAAGGGUGCGCAGGCGGAAGAUCAAGUCAGCGGUAAAAUUGA